GACGAACGCUGGCGGCGUGCCUAAUACAUGCAAGUAGAACGCUGAAGGAGGAGCUUGCUUCUCUGGAUGAGUUGCGAACGGGUGAGUAACGCGUAGGUAACCUGCCUGGUAGCGGGGGAUAACUAUUGGAAACGAUAGCUAAUACCGCAUAAUAGUAGAUGUUGCAUGACAUUUACUUAAAAGGUGCAAUUGCAUCACUACCAGAUGGACCUGCGUUGUAUUUGCUAGUUGGUGGGGUAACGGCCCACCAAGGCGAAGGAACAUAACCGACCGGGGAAGGUGAUCCGCCAACCUGGGACUGGGACCCGGCCCAAAACUCUACGGGAAGGAGCAGUAGGGAAUCUUCGGCAAUGGAGGAAAGUCUUACCGAGCAACGCCGGGUGAGUGAAGAAGGUUUUCGGAUCGUAAAGCUCUGUUGUAAGAGAAGAACGAGUGUGAGAGUAGAAAGUUCACGCUGUGACGGUACCUUACCAGAAAGGAACGGCUAACUACGUG
rnacentral:rRNA from 1 species